rnacentral:rRNA from 1 species
GAUGAACGCUGGCGGCGUGCCUAAUACAUGCAAGUCGAGCGAACGGACGAGAAGCUUGCUUCUCUGAUGUUAGCGGCGGACGGGUGUGUCACACGUGUAUAACCUACUUAUAAGACUGGGAUCAUCUCGGGAAUCCGUAGAUAAUCCCGUAUAAUCUUUUGAACCGCAUUGGUCAAUAGUGAAAGUCGGUCUUGCUGUCACUUAUCGAUGCAUCUGCGCUGCAUUAGCUAGUUGGUAAGGUAACGGCUUACCACGGCAACGAUGCAUAGCCGACCUGAUAGGGUGAUCGGCCACACGGGAGCUGAGCCACGGUCCAGACUCCUACGGGAGGCAGCAGUAGGGAAUCUUCCGCAAUGGGCGAAAGCCCGACGGAGCAACGCCGCGUGAGUGAUGAAGGUCUUCGGAUCGUAAAACUCUGUUAUUAGGGAAGAACAUAUGUGUAAGUAACUGUGCACAUCUUGACGGUACCUAAUCAGAAAGCCACGGCUAACUACGUG